CCUACGGGAGGCAGCAGUGGGGAAUAUUGCGCAAUGGGCGAAAGCCUGACGCCGCGACGCCGCGUGAGGGAUGAAGGUCUUCGGAUCGUAAACCUCUGUCAGCAGGGAAGAACGGUCAAUGUGCUAAUCAGCAGUGAAUUGACGGUACCUGCAAAGGAAGCACCGGAUAACUCCGUGCCAGCAGCCGCGGUAAUACGGAGGGUGCGAGCGUUAAUCGGAAUUACUGGGAGUAAAGCGCUCGUAGGCGGUAUGUCAAGUAAAGGGUGAAAUCCCCGCGCUCAACGUGGGAACUGCCUUUGAAGCUGGCAAACUGGAGUGUGUGAGAGGAGAGUAGAAUUCCAGGUGUAGGAGUUAAAUCCGUAGAUAUCUGGAGGAACAUCAGUGGCGAAGGCGACUAUCUGGCACAUAACUGACGCUGAGGAGCGAAAGCGUGGGUAGCAAACAGGAUUAGAUACCCGGGUAGUC
rnacentral:rRNA from 1 species